GCCCAUUCUCUCUGCCAGUUUACCCAGAAUUCAUUGGGGCAGAGCUAAUGAUGUCGACUGGAAGGGUUUAAUGAAGAAGCUGGGAAACAGAACCGGGGCCCUUUCAGAACACUAGAGCGACCAUUGCCUUGGCAACAGCACACAGGAGUGGUGUAGCACGAGGGAACGAAAUGGUCAUGUUGGGUUUAAAGAAGAUACUUCAAACGGGCGUGGGAGGGAGCGGAGUCUGCUGGGAGCAGAGGAUUGUGGGAGAGCGUGGUGCUGAUGAAGCUUGGUGGAUGUGGGCCUCAGUUAAAAUGGAGCAACACUACAACCCCUCAGUGAACUGAUGCAGAACUACUGCCACUUAAAACGCCUAGCAAACAAAAGACUGGAAUUCUUACUCAUUUGAUGUACUGUAAUUUCUUGGCUAGGCCCAUCUAUAGUCAUGAUACGUGAUUAUGCUACAAUUUAAGAUCUGGAAAUUCAUGUUUACAGUGACGGCCUACCCCGGCCAAACCCUCCCCUAACCCGGAUGACACUGGGCCAAUUGUGUGCCGCCCUAUGGGACUCCUGAUCACGGUUGGUUGUGAUACAGCCCGGGCUCAAACCAGGGUCUGUCGUGACAUCUCUAGCACUGAGAUGCAGUGCCUUAGACUGCCGCACCACUCAAGGAACCCAAUUAUAUUCAUAGGGACUUUGUGUUUGUCUUGAAUACUGUAUCGUUCUGCACUGUGAAUUGUGUUGACUUUUUGUAUUGUGAUUCUAUACAAAACAAAAGACCCCAUCUUUAAGUUCCCUUGGGGAAAAUAAAGUGAUUGUAUUUUAGUUACCGUACAAACCAAGACGGAUGUUUAGAAAAGACGGAAGGUGAGCGUUUAAUGAUUUCAGAGCCUUUUAUUUGAAAUGUCAGUGUUCAAGAGAAAAUAAAACGGCAAUAUAAAUAUUAGCAUAAAAAUGAAGAGACUAAACACCGGGAGGAGCGUAGGAGGUCUAAACAUUUCAUAAGAAAGAUAUUACCGCACGAGAGAGGAUUAAUUCAGCAGCGGACGGACGUACACACACACAUAAUAUUUAUAAUAAUUUUUGCUCAUAUGGACAGAGAGGCAUUCUUGCGCAAAUGCACAAGAUAAAACACAGACAAAAAAGUUACAGAAGGAUAGAAACAUUUUUUUCAAUAUAAUUUUUUUUGUUUAGUUUCUUUUACAGGGUAGUAAAAUAGAGA
rnacentral:lncRNA from 1 species